rnacentral:lncRNA from 1 species
UGUUUCUAACUUCAUGCAUGAAUUUUAAACUAAUGAAAGCCCAUCAUUUUACUUUUUCAGGUUACAAUAUUUGCCGUACUCUUUAGCGAAUUUAAUUUAAAAGCAGUUUGGUUAUCGGCUAAUCAAGCGCAGCCUUUACUUAACUUUCAAACAGACAUUGAUGAAAAGACAAACGAACAAGUUUUAACUUGUUUCCUGUUACCUCCAAAGUUGAAGACAGAUCUGAAGUAUUUCCUGGUCAAGUGAACGGUGGCUGUGAAGAAAAUUAUGAAACUUACAGUCAGUACCGAGAGUAUUAUGAAGAAGACUGGCAAGACAAAAAUUCCUCCCACAGACUCUCAGUCAAGUUUUCUGACGAUACUCAAGUGGAAGAUAAUAAAAAUACGUCAUUUGUGAGACAAAAUACGCCACAUCCCAAAGAAUUGAAAGCCAAAGCUAUGAAAUUAUUUCUAAAUCAAAAUCCAAUGACUCCAGUAGAGAAAUGACCGCAGAAGAAUUGGAGGAAGUUAAAAACCAUUCUCAAAAGGAUCAACUUCAAACAGAGACAGAACAGCCGGCCAGCGCAAGGAGUUCCUAUUCCGAGCCUCCGACUGAAGCGAAAGAUUCUGUUAAAUUAAAUUCUAUCCAUGAAAUAUUGCCCAAUGAGCAUGGUGUUGAGUCGUGUAGUGAUACGUGUCCUAGCGAAUCAGAAGACUUUAGCAGAGAGGUGAGUUCUGAAUCAUUUUAUUUUAUUUUUGAAAAUAGUAACUUAAACGCUUAAUCAAAAAAUGUAUAAUAUAUGGCUUCUUUAUUUAUGAUCAUUAACAGGUAAAUGAUUUUCUACUCCUUCUGUUUUCUGUUGGUUCAAGGAAAUCUCUUUUUCGCAGAUUUUCUGUUUUGCAAAGCACAUGCAUGAAACCUAAAUAUGAAAUGAAAACUCUAUUGUUUACAGUCAUGUGUUUGAACGACUGCCAAUUUUUUUAGGGGAGAGAGGCAGAUGUUUUUGGGAAUGUCAAAGCAAAAGAUUAUUUUUAAUGUAUUUAGUUUAUAUAAUAAACAAUUUAAUUGGUUCCCUUUGAAGCAUCAAAGGAACAAACAAUUUUACCAAAAAUCUGUGCAUGAAACAAUAUUGUUGCACCUUAUCGCAAAGUGCCUAGGAUGAUCACAAACAAUCUUGAUUUGUAUGGUUUAAUUCUUUAUUUCUACUGAUUUUUUCUGUGUUACAAAUAAAAUAAAACAAUUUCUAUGAAUAUUUGCCCAUGCAAGGUGUCUAUUGACCAGGAAAGUUAGGGAAAGUUGCAAACUCCUGUGCAAGAUUAAGAUUUUUUGCAAAACUUCAUGGCGCUUCAAUACUGAGCCGCAUAGCGCUCUCUUCCGGUCUGUUCAGUAGUGGAUUUUUCCCCUGAAAAUUUGAGCCCCCGGCUGAUCUAUAUUGAUACUUUGCGCUGAGCUAUGUUUAUUUUGGUGUUGCUUUUGAUUGUUGAAAAAAUGCUAGGGACUGUCAGAGAGACAAAUAAAUCAAAAGUCAGGAAAAACGUGGAAAACCGGGAGGAAGGGGGAAAAAAUUUUGACAGACAUACUUUCGUGUAAAGUUGAAUCUUUCGUCUUGAUGUCUAGCUCAUACUAUUUUGACACUGAAAUUAAGAACACCCUAUAACUUGAUUGUGUUAUUUAAAGUGUUUCACAGGUUCUCUUUCUCUAUUUUUAAAAAAUCUUUACUUUUGCAUGAAAUUUAAGUGAAUACAUGUAAAUAGUCAGAGAAAAAGCAUGCUGAAAUCGACGAAUUAAAUUAGGUUGAUUCUCCUUUAGGGGCCAUUCAUAAAAUACGUAUUUCUUAAUUUUGGAUUUUCGACAACCCCCUUUCACCCUUUGUACCUAUCUUGUGACAUAAGUUCCUAUCCUUAAUACGCAGAAACACAAUAGCGCCGUGCUCUUCUCAACUCCUCUCUUCCCUAGAGUGUUACAUAUUUUAUGAACAGUGCCUUGUUAAAAUAUAAUGUGGCAGCUGAUUUACACUGUUUUAAACUGAGUUGUAGAAUUUUCUCAUUUCACCAUUGAUUCGCAUUAUUCUUGUACAAUUAUGUCACUUUAAGCUUCUAUUCUAAAGUAUAGUUUAUAAGUAAGUCUGCUUGUCUCUGAAAUUAGUCUCAAUUUAGAAUUUGUCUUGCACCAAGUCUUAAGAUAAUAUUUAAUAAUUACAUGAACGCUGCGCAGCUCUUUUCAGUUCCACAGCCGAAAAUUUGAUGGAAUAAACCCAAAUUUUUGCAACAGCAAAAGUUGACCUAGGAAAAUUAAAGACAAAUAAAAUUGAAUCGGGCAGUGUAGAACCAGCUUGUCUUCGUGGAAAAAUUUUUGUGAGAAAUCACUUGAAGUUAUUCGCCAGGAUUUUUCAUUGAGUAUCGUUUCU